rnacentral:rRNA from 1 species
GAGUUUGAUCCUGGCUCAGAUUGAACGCUGGCGGCAUGCCUUACACAUGCAAGUCGAACGGCAGCACGGGAGCUUGCUCCUGGUGGGCGAGUGGCGAACGGGUGAGUAAUGCAUCGGAACGUAGUCCUGGAGUGGGGGAUAACGUAGCGAAAGUUACGCUAAUACCGCAUAUUCUGUGAGCAGGAAAGCGGGGGACCUUCGGGCCUCGCGCUCUUGGAGCGGCCGAUGUCGGAUUAGCUAGUUGGUGAGGUAAAGGCUCACCAAGGCGACGAUCCGUAGCAGGUCUGAGAGGAUGAUCUGCCACACUGGAACUGAGACACGGUCCAGACUCCUACGGAGGCAGCAGU